AUUGAACGCUGGCGGCAUGCCUUACACAUGCAAGUCGAACGGUAACGGGCCUUCGGGUGCCGACGAGUGGCGAACGGGUGAGUAAUACAUCGGAACGUGCCCGAUCGUGGGGGAUAACGAGGCGAAAGCUUUGCUAAUACCGCAUACGAUCUACGGAUGAAAGCAGGGGACCGCAAGGCCCUGCGCGGACGGAGCGGCCGGUGGCAGAUUAGGUAGUUGGUGGGAUAAAAGCUUACCAAGCCGACGAUCUGUAGCUGGUCUGAGAGGAUGAUCAGCCACACUGGGACUGAGACACGGCCCAGACUCCUACGGGAGGCAGCAGUGGGGAAUUUUGGACAAUGGGCGCAAGCCUGAUCCAGCCAUGCCGCGUGCAGGAUGAAGGCCUUCGGGUUGUAAACUGCUUUUGUACGGAACGAAAAGCCUUCUUUUAAUACAGGAGGGUCAUGACGGUACCGUAAGAAUAAGCACCGGCUAACUACGUG
rnacentral:rRNA from 1 species